UACGUAGGGGGCAAGCGUUGUCCGGAAUCAUUGGGCGUAAAGAGCGUGUAGGCGGUUCAGUAAGUCUGCUGUGAAAGUCCAGGGCUCAACCCUGGGAUGCCGGUGGAUACUGCUGGGCUAGAGUACGGAAGAGGCGAGUGGAAUUCCCGGUGUAGCGGUGAAAUGCGCAGAUAUCGGGAGGAACACCGAUGGCGAAGGCAGGUCUCUGGGCCAUAACUGACGCUGAGAAGCGAAAGCAUGGGGAGCGAACAGG
rnacentral:rRNA from 1 species